GUUUCAUGCAAGCAGUGCAGGGCUAAGCAUGCUCAGUGUAAAUUCUCCUGUAGCCUGUCAAGCUAUGUUUGAACUCAUUCCAGAAUACUGGAUUUACUUUUUUUUUUCCACAAGGAAGAAUAAUGCCUGAUUAGUCUGCAUUUUGCUUUCUUUCUUUCUUUCUUCUUCUUCUUCUUUUUUUUUUUUCGGUGUAGGGCACCAGAAGAUUGGAAACAAUAUUCUUUUCUGAUCAGUUCAGUAAUACAAUGUCCUUGAAUGUUCAUAUGAGCAUUUCAGUGGAGAAGAAAAGAAACUUUGCUACCUGAGAACUGAAGACUACUUAGACUAUUCGCAAAAAAACGGAAAAGGUUGGUGGUCAAGGAAGGGUGAAGAGUCACAAGGUGAUACGAGGAAUUUCUACUUCAAAGCGAGAGGCCCCAGGAAAGCCGCUGGCCUCAGUCUUGUGAAG
rnacentral:lncRNA from 1 species